GAACUGCGAUAAGUAAUGUGAAUUGCAGAAUUCAGUGAAUCAUCGAGUCUUUGAACGCACAUUGCGCCCCCUGGCAUUCCGGGGGGCAUGCCUGUCCGAGCGUCAUUGCUGCCCUUCAAGCCCGGCUUGUGUGUUGGGUCGUCGUCCCCCCCGGGGGACGGACCCGAAAGGCAGCGGCGGCACCGUGUCCGGUCCUCGAGCGUAUGGGGCUUUGUCACCCGCUCGAUUAGGACCGGCCGGGCGCCCGCCGGCGUCAAACCCCAAUCUUUCUAAGGUUGACCUCGGAUCAGGUAGUGAUACCCGCUGAACUUAAGC
rnacentral:misc_RNA from 1 species